rnacentral:lncRNA from 1 species
CUAUUUUUAACCUGGAUGGGUUCUGUGAUUUGUUUCGCACACAGCAUUCAAACUGGCACAGCUGAGGGAAGAGCGAGCGCUGGGAACAGGAGAAGGGAAAGCAGGGGCUGCUUAUGUUGGCACUGCUACUAAAAGAAGUACUCAUCAAACUGAAGCCUCAGUCUCUUCGCAUCUCACAUCUGUAAAGUGGAAAUGAUGAUAGCCUCACAUCACCUCUCUGAAAGGAUCAAACUGGUAGCUGCCGUAAAAGCCUGUGUAACUUGUCAGAGCAAUUCUCUACCCUGGCAAGUUACACAAGCCGCGGAGCUGCUCUCUGCCCCUGGGCGUCCUGCCUCCCUCUGCCUUCUGCCUGCAUGGGUGACUCCUCCUCUCCGUCCUUCUUCAAAGGCAUCAGCUAUACUCACUUUUAGGGAAAUUGGCAGAAUUCUCCUUAGCUGCACCGCGGGACAUGUGGCCAAUGUGCUCUGGAGCGGGCCAGUCUGCCUCUCAGGUCUCAAUGGGUUUCGUGAACGAUGGAGGGACCCUUUGCUUCAGUGGCUGCCUUUGCUGCAAGAGAUGGGCCACGGCUCUGAGGUACCUUUAUGAUCCUCUGCUUCGAGAGUUGGCCUGGGACCAGUCCAGCACCUGAUCUCAGACGAUUUAUGGCCCUGGAGCGCAGCCACAUUCUCAUGGUUACAAAGGCGUGUGGACGCGGCCUGGCGCUGCCCUGUCCUCCCAGAGCAUGCGGGUGAGGAAGCGCAGGAGGUGUGAAAUGCUGGUGCUUGCAGUUGUGGUAACUAUUGAUCACCACCUCCGUGGGUUAUUGAAGGCAAAAGAUACAGUGAGAACACGACUGAGCUCCCUCACUUGCCCAAAAUCCACACGUGCCUCCAGGUGAUGCAAACCCUUCCUGGGACUUGACUGUAAUUACAAAUGUGUUUUUUCUUCACAAUAGUAGGUGCCAACUCUUCUUAAGGGGUUUAGCUGCUCCCACAGUUGCUCCUCAUAGCUGGCGGUGGCCCCUCCACUCUUUCUCCAGGGCUUGCUGUCGUUAGGUCCUGGUUGGAGACCAGCAUCCACUGACACUACUAGCCUGUGGAAACACUAACUUGUUUUUUAAGUAGAGAUUGGGUGUAAUAGUCAUUCAAUGAUUCAAUGAUCUCUGUCUUCCCUGAACAGAAAAUACAUGUCUGCCCUACCAAAGCCACUCUGCAGGCAGCAAACCUUUGCCAUAUGACAAGGAUAUAUAGACUGCUGUUACACUCUCGCUGCGCUGUGUGACUUUAGCUAGGAUGCUUAGCUAUGUAUUUCUCAACAGCAAUAAACAUACUAUUUUCUUAAUGAUGAUUUGUUUU